rnacentral:sRNA from 1 species
GACGCUUCUAAAAAAACUAAACGAAGUG